UCUGCCUCCCAAAGUGCUGGGAUUACAGGCGUGAGCCACCGCGCCCGGUGGAAAGGACACUUUUUUACAGUAUGAGCACUGAAACAAAAAGGCAAAGCAAGGUCUGUUCACCUUCAGCUGAGAACGUGAGGAUUGGUUCAGGAGUACAUGCGCAGGUUUGUCAUAUAAGCAAAUUAUGUGGCACAGAAGUUUGGUGUAUGGAUUAUUUCAUCACCCAGCCUGCUGCCUGGAAUGCAUAUGUGAUGGCUGGAAUGCUAGCUCUAAUUUUGGAUCAUGAGGAAAAGUGCCACACCAUUGGAGAUGAGGGAUGAGCUGGAAGGGGUCCUGUGGCAGGGGAUCAUGUCCUGGGACAUACCAAGAGAGCAGCUUCUAGAGGACUGAUUAUCAGAGAGGAACUGGAAUGUGAAAAGACGUCUAACUAACCAUUAUUAAUGAUUCACUUGUAAUUUUCACUAAUGGAUGACCCACAUGAUUUCCUCUUCAAAGAAUUUGUCCAAAGCCACCCAUUUAAAAAAGAAAAGAAUGGAGGAUGGAAUCUCAUAAGUGAUCUUACCAUUUACAAAGCACAGUGUGAUUAAUCAAUUCUCCUUUAUAUUUUAGUGCCUACCGUGUUUCUUAAUUUGAUGGAGAAGCCUUCUUAUAAACACUCUUAGAAAAGCUAUAUGUAAUUAACUUUCUUCUUUGAGCAAAGGGACUUGUUUCUCUGAGAUGUCUAUAAAAGAUAAAGAGUUGAUGUGGGCCACA
rnacentral:lncRNA from 1 species